AUUGAAAACACCAGAGGAGAUGGACUAUGAAUUCCCCUCCAAAUAGAACAUGUGAAAAUUUGGAAGCAGGUCAUUUGAUUGGUCAAGCUGGUGCAACGCUACCAGUGUUAUACACCAUGCAUGUACACCAUGCUGCUGUGUGACCAAGUGAGGGGCAUCACAAGGAAGGGGAAGAUAUCUAGAUCAUUCAUGGAGCCUUCAACAUCGUAUUAAAACCAAAUUAUAAAGAGAACUCAAGAAGCCAGAAUUUUACAUUUAGUCAUGACCAGUCAUGACAUUCAGCAAAUGAAUGAGUAUCUGAUGAAAAUUAGUGAGAGUUUUCAGAGAAUGGGAGAUACCGUUGGACACCUUCACUAA